UACGUAGGGGGCUAGCGUUGUCCGGAUCUAUUGGGCGUAAAGAGCGUGUAGGCGGCCAGGUAGGUCUGGUGUGAAAACUCGAGGCUUAACCUCGAGAUGUCAUCGGAAACCAUCUGGCUAGAGUCCGGAAGAGGAGAGUGGAAUUCCUGGUGUAGCGGUGAAAUGCGCAGAUAUCAGGAAGAACACCAAUGGCGAAAGCAGCUCUCUGGGACGGUACUGACGCUGAGACGCGAAAGCGUGGGGAGCGAACAGG
rnacentral:rRNA from 1 species